ACCUAGCAGCCAGGGUUAAAAACGACAGAAUAAAUAUUGACCGUGGAGUGCACACCUGCCCCUCGGAUCCAGCUCCUCGUAAAGCUUCCCCAGCCAGGAAUCUCUCAUCCCAGCACCCCCUAAACCCAGGGGAGUCAGGGCAGCUUUGCCAGGGAAGAACGGAGCCUCGUGUUUCCAUUGCUGUUGUUUACGAUGGUACCACCUCGCCGCCCCAGCAGCGAGAAAGGGACCCCAGUAUGCCAGACACGGCACGGAUCCCCGACUGAACCUGGUGCCCCAUUGUGCCAGGGCCCACUGGAUCUGCAGUUCACCCAGAAUUGGGGACCCUUUGCAUCGCCAGCACGGAUCAAUCAUUAACAGGUCCCACUCCCUCCUCCACCCUGCCCUCAGGGCAGCCGGGUGAGUCAGAGACCCCUCCCGGCUGGGCAUCUCCCCACCUGUCCGGAGGAGAUGGGCGGCGAGCUCGAUUCCAGGUUCUUCCCCUGGCUUUUGGAGCAGGAGGAGAGGCUUCUGCAGGAGAUCCGGAUCCGGACACACCAGUUACAGGAAAGUGGGGAUACCAAUGGCUCAGACAUCAGCAAAACCCUUAGACCUUAGGAGGGGCCUGGGUUACCUGACUUGACGGAUGUCGAGCUGUCCUUGAACAAUAAACAUGUCCUUGGGGAAAGGGACUGCAAACCAACACCGGUGGGAGCUUCAUUGCCAGGGAGCUGGCCUGGGGCCUUGCAUGAGGGUGGGGAAACUGAGGCAGGGUCCGACGCCGGGUUUGGGGAGAUCUUGUCUCCUCAAUCCUGCAGCCAGCCAGCCCAGGUCACUCACCAGCCAAAUGACAUUCCUUCCCUCCCUGAUGCAGGCUGCCCAGCGCCGUUUCCAAAGGACAAAGCUGACAUCCUGCGCUGAGCCCAGACUAGACCUCAG